GAUUAACGCUGGCGGCGUGCCUGACACAUGCAAGUCGAACGGGUGCCAGUUGCCCGCAAGGGUGAUUGGCGCUAGUGGCGGACGGGUGAGUAACACGUGGGCAACCUGCCCAAGAGUGUGGGAUAACCCUGCGAAAGCAGAGCUAAUACCGCAUGUGGCUGCCGGAAGGCAUCUUCCGGCAACUAAAGUCGCAAGACGCUCUUGGAUGGGCCCGCGGCCUAUUAGCUAGUUGGUGAGGUAACGGCCCACCAAGGUGGUGAUGGGUAGCUGGUCUGAGAGGACGAUCAGCCACACUGGGACUGAGACACGGCCCAGACUCCUACGGGAGGCAGCAGUGAGGAAUUUUCCGCAAUGGGCGAAAGCCUGACGGAGCAACGCCGCGUGAGGGAUGAAGUCUCUAGGGAUGUAAACCUCUGUUGGGAGGGACGAAGAUCUGACGGUACCUCCUGAGGAAGCCCCGGCUAACUACGUGCCAGCAGCCGCGGUAAUACGUAGGGGGCGAGCGUUAUCCGGAUUUACUGGGCGUAAAGAGCGCGUAGGCGGUUCCGCAAGUUGGUUGUGAAAGUUCGAGGCUCAACCUCGAAACUGCGUCCAAAACUGCGGGGCUAGAGUGCAAGAGA
rnacentral:rRNA from 1 species